rnacentral:rRNA from 1 species
AACGUAGGGUGCAAGCGUUGUCCGGAAUUACUGGGUGUAAAGGGAGCGCAGGCGGAUCUGCAAGUUGGAAGUGAAAACUAUGGGCUCAACCCAUAACGUGCUUUCAAAACUGUGGAUCUUGGGUGGUGCAGAGGUAGGCGGAAUUCCCGGUGUAGCGGUGGAAUGCGUAGAUAUCGGGAGGAACACCAGUGGCGAAGGCGGCCUACUGGGCACUAACUGACGCUGAGGCUCGAAAGCAUGGGUAGCAAACAGGAUUAGAUACCCUGGUAGUCCAUGCCGUAAACGAUGAUUACUAGGUGUGGGAGGAUUGACCCCUUCCGUGCCGCAGUUAACACAAUAAGUAAUCCACCUGGGGAGUACGACCGCAAGGUUGAA